CUUCAAAGGGCCACUCUUUGAUCUAUGAUACACUGACUUCUGCUGUGAAAUAUCUGUGUACAGAAGGAAAACCAGGAUUCAUUGAUAACUUUCACUGCAUAAUGAACAACUUGGCGGGGAAUCAUAUUAACAUUCUGCAGUCUUGUAAGAAACUCUAUCCAGAACUUAUCAACGCAAAAAAACGCAACACUGGUUCUGAUGUUUCCAGUGAAGGAUGCAGAGCGUUAAAGAAAGUUUUGACCUGUAUUGAGGACAAGGCCCAGACUCUGUGUGGUGGCAAAGCAGCAACUUUUAUACGUUCUUACCUGGAAGCCACGAUGAAACCUCUGACAAAGGUCAUUACUUG